GGAACCCACUUUCCCCUUCGUUUUAUACAGGUCUCUGUUGUCUGGUGAUACAAUAAACAUGGAGCAUAUUUGUCAUGAGUUUUAAAAAUAGAGUUUUAGAAAAAGAAAAAUCUUUUUAACUUUUGACAUUUUAUCCUGCAGAUUUGCCCCGUGUGUGUGCAACGAGAUACAGAGCCACUAUUAGGGGUUUCGAUUGAACAGGAGUAAAAGACAGGAAACAACCUUAAUAACCAUCAAUUGGGGACUGAGGAUGCCUGUGGCCACUGCAGUGUGUGGGUUUGGCCUCCUCCAGCACCCUGACCUCGACAGUUUUUCUCCACUCAGCUCGAAACCAAGAUGAAAUCAGCCUCAGAUGGCCAUUUCUCUGCCUUAUCUGGACCCCAUGACUCUUUUAUUCUUUGUAAUUUGAAGGGUGUUCCCCUCAAGUGUAUUUGUUUAUAAAUGCCGAGACUCUCUGCCAGUACAGAUGAGGAGCUGGCAGUGUGGUUGCUUCUGGGAAAGGGAAUCAGUGGAUAAGAUUGGAUUUACUUAUUGGCAAAUAAGUAAAUCAAAUAAAAAUUUACAGGGUGAAUUGUA